rnacentral:lncRNA from 1 species
GAAAGGUUGGAAAGCAAACGUUUUUGGAGAAUCAUCUUCCUUCGUUACCAACCUUGGGAGAUAGGCAAGAUGCAUUCAAUAUUUCUUUUGAAUGGGAUGAGAGUUUUGGAAUUCCAGGAGCAUUCUACAUCAAAAACUUUAUGCAAGCUGAGUUUUUCCUUGUGAGUCUCACUCUUGAAGACAUUCCAAAUCAUGGAACCAUUCACUUUGUGUGCAACUCCUGGGUUUACAACGCAAAAAAUUACAAAAAGGACCGUAUUUUCUUUGUCAACAAGGUAACUAACAUGAAAUUCAAGUACUAUUUUCCUAAACUUUCACAUAAUUUAGCCCAUUUUAAUGAAGAAAUUCAUCAAACAUGUUGCAGACAUAUGUUCCAAGUGAAACUCCAACUCCACUGGUUAAGUACAGAAAAGAAGAAUUGGAAAACCUAAGAGGGGAUGGAACUGGGCAGCGUAAGGUAUCUGAUAGGAUCUAUGAUUAUGAUGUGUAUAAUGAUUUGGGCAACCCAGACAAGAGUGCAGAUCUGGCUCGUCCUGUUCUUGGAGGUUCUAGUGCCUAUCCAUACCCUCGCAGAGGAAGAACUGGGAGAAAAGCAUCAAAAAGAGGUUAGGAUUUAAUUUUUCUAUUUUAGAUAAUCAAUUCCAAUGCAUGGUGAUAAAGUAAUUUGCCUCAAUGAAAUUGUACCUUGAUGUAGAGCUGUACUAUUAUAAGUUAGAUUUUUGUUUUUUGAAAGUGCAAUUACUUAUUAUUAUUAUUAUUAUCAUUAUCAUUAUGAUUGAGGAUACAAAAUUGAUUUUACUUUUAUUAACAGAUCCUAAGAGUGAGGCACCAGCCAGCGACACUUACAUUCCAAGAGAUGAAAAUUUUGGUCACUUGAAGUCAUCAGACUUUCUUACAUAUGGAAUAAAGUCCUUGGCUCAAAGUGUCUUACCUCAAUUUCAAUCUGCAUUUGGUUUAAAUGCUGAGUUUGAUAAGUUUGAUGACGUUCGUGGAUUCUUUGAAGGUGGAAUUCAUCUUCCUACAGACGUAAUAAGCAACAUUAGCCCCUUACCAGUGAUAAAGGAAAUCUUCCGCACUGAUGGUGAACAAGUCCUCAAGUUUCCACCACCUCAUGUCAUCCAAGGUAUUGUUUGCUUACAAGUCACAUAUAUAUCUCAAGUAAAAUCAACUGAAAUUACUUCACAUCCAAUAUUUAUCAUAUUUAACAUUUACAUGUUUUUCAUAUUAUUUGGAGCAGUUAGUAAGUCUGCAUGGAUGACUGAUGAAGAAUUUGGAAGAGAGAUGCUUGCUGGUGUUAAUCCUUGCCUAAUUCAACGCCUUCAAGUAAAUAAUGCUUUAUUGUUCAUUAAAUUGGAAUGAUUUGGUUUUCAUUUGAAUUAUAUUCGUUGUUUCUCAUGUUAAUUUACUGGCAAUGUUAUUUAAUGAAUGACAGGAGUUCCCUCCAAAGAGCAAGCUAGAUGCUUCUGUGUAUGGUGAUCAAACUAGCACAAUUACUAAAGAAAAUUUGGAGAUCAACCUUGGUGGACUCACUGUGGAAGAGGUGAAUGAUAUUUAUUAAUUCCAUGGCAAAAUGAUACAUGAAUCUCCAUUUAACCAUGACACUGAAUGUUUAUAAUGAUAUUUGUUCAACAGGCAUUGAAUGGUAACAAACUGUUCAUAUUAGAUCACCAUGAUGCAUUCCUACCAUAUCUGAGGAAGAUCAAUGACCUACCCACCGCAAAGUCUUAUGCCACAAGGACAAUCCUUUUCUUGAAAGAUGAUGGCACAUUGAAGCCAUUGGCUAUUGAAUUAAGUCUUCCACAUCCUAGGGGAGAUGAGUUUGGUGCUGUUAGCAGAGUUAUCUUGCCUGCAGACCAAGGCGCUGAAAGCACAAUUUGGCUAUUGGCUAAGGCUUAUGUUGUAGUAAAUGACUCUUGCUAUCAUCAACUCAUGAGCCACUGGUAUGCAUAAACUCUCCCAUUUGUCAUCACUUAUCAUAAACCAACUAUUAAGUGAUUCUUAAUUUAUUUGGUUUGCCAUAUCAUUUGAUCACAGGCUAAAUACCCAUGCCACAAUUGAGCCCUUUGUCAUAGCAACAAAUAGGCAUCUCAGUGUGCUCCACCCUAUAUACAAACUCUUGUCGCCUCACUAUCGUGACACCAUGAAUAUCAAUGGACUUGCACGACAAUCACUCAUCAAUGCAGGUGGUAUUAUUGAGCAAUCAUUUUUGCCCGGGCCAUUCUCUGUGGAGAUGUCUUCAGCAGUUUACAAAAGUUGGGUUUUCACUGAUCAGGCUCUUCCUGCUGAUCUUAUUAAGAGGUAAUAUUUAUGCAUUACUGUAAAAAUUUUCAAGUUAAAAUUGUUCAUUUAUUUCAUACCAACAUUGUGUGUCCUUUUAAUCUAUUUUCUGAAGAAACUUUAGUAAAUAUUAAAAGAUCUUGAUUUUUAUACAUUGUCAAUGUAAACCCAUUAUAAAUAACGUCAAGUAUUAUUUUAUGGUAUUGUGGUAGAAACUAACCAACUUAUCAUAAAUACAAUAUGUUAUUGGAUUAACAUAUAAAAGUCUUUUACUCUUUGUGCAUUAUGUAUAUUUUAUAUUUAAAAUGUUAAAAGCGAGUAUUGCCUUGUGGAAGUUAAAGACUGAUGAGAUAGUCAAAAUUCAUUUCAAUGAUAUUAUUUACUUAAGUAAAAUUGUUUUUUAUCUAAAAAAUGAAAGAGAAAUUUGGUGUUAACAACAAGUCCUUUGUUAUCUCCUUGAUUCAGAGGAAUGGCAAUUGAGGAUCCAUCCUCUCCACAUGGCCUUCGUCUAGUGAUUGAUGACUACCCUUAUGCUGUCGAUGGACUAGAGAUAUGGAGUGCUAUCCAGUCCUGGGUUAAAGACUAUGUCUCAUUGUACUAUGCCACAGAUGAUGCAAUUAAGAAAGACACAGAACUCCAAACUUGGUGGAAGGAAGCUGUUGAGAAGGGUCAUGGUGACUUGAAAGACAAACCAUGGUGGCCAAAGUUGAACACUCCUCAAAAUCUGAUUCACAUUUGCAGCAUUAUAAUAUGGACUGCUUCAGCUCUCCAUGCAGCUGUUAAUUUUGGACAAUACCCUUAUGGAGGUUACAUCCUAAACCGUCCAACUCUAACCAGAAGAUUGAUCCCAGAGCCAGGAACCAAAGAAUAUGAUGAGCUGAGCAGCAAUCAUCAAAAGGCUUAUCUGAGAACAAUUACAGGAAAAUAUGAGGCCAUUGUGGACCUUUCUGUGAUAGAGAUAUUGUCAAGACAUGCUUCUGAUGAGGUCUAUCUUGGACAGAGGGACAAUCCUAAUUGGACCGAUGAUACAAAGGCUCUUCAAGCCUUUCAAAAGUUUGGAAACAAACUGAAGGAAAUUGAGAAUAAGAUCUUAGGAAGGAACAACAAUUCAAGUCUCAGAAACCGUGUUGGGCCAGUUAAGAUGCCCUACACUGUGCUUCUUCCUACCAGUAAGGAAGGUCUCACUUUCAGAGGAAUCCCCAACAGCAUCUCUAUUUAAGGAGUCUACCUGUGUGGUUUAAUGUCUGUCCUACUUUAUCGCUCAAUACCAAAUAAUUAUGUUUGCUUGUCUCUGCAUAAUUGUCGGGUGUAUGCUUAAGUAAUGUAUGGGGAUCUUACAUGGUUCUCCUUUUAAUAAGAGUGGUAUCAUUUUGUGUUAAGUAUUGGGUUAUAUAAGUCUGAUAUCUCGGAUUUUGAAUAUCAAAUCAAAUUUCUCUCUGCCAUAUACAUUUUUAACAUAAACCUGUUGCAUGACUUUGAUUUGGGUAUCUAAAUUUCUACCUCAUAAAAAACAGAACAAGCUUCAUUUUUUUUUCCUUAAAUACUACUAAUAAUUAUUUUACUUUUUGAAGAAAAUAAAAAUGGAAUCAAGAAGAAGUAUUUUAAAAUAAAAGCAAAGAGAAAAAAUAAAAUAAUUGUAAUAAUAAAAAACUCUUUUCUACUUAUUGCAGUUCUGUUUCACUUUGCAUAUCCCUAGCCCGUCUCACUCUUUUCCUUUCCACACCCAUUUGCUUCUCUCCACGCACCCAUGCCACUCUUUUUUCUCACCCCAUUCUCAGUGCCACGCCGCCGCGCCGUCAACCGUUGCCAUCCAUCAUCAUCCUGCAUAUGUUUUUUAUUUUCCUCAUAUUUUUGGUUUCUUAUCACCUUUUCUCUCUCUUCAUUGAUUCAUACACUCAUAAAACAUAUUUAAAUGGCGGGUUCCACGUUUUUUUAUACAAACAAGAUAAAAUUAAAUUCAAAAUUCAAACAUAACAAAAAAAGAAUCUGAGCCCAUUCCGCAGCCCGACUUACGUUUUCUCACUGCACCCCUCCUUUACCGUCACACUCCUCUUAUUUCAAAACAAGGGAAAUCUGGGCACAUUCUGCUGGUCCAGCUACUUUUUACUUUCUGACCCCUUUGUCUACCUGCGCGACCCUCACUCAAAGCUUAACCAUAUUUACUCUAGCACGUUUUUUGUUUUUAAUUUUUAUUAAUAAAAAUUUGAAAAAUAAUAAAUAAAUUAGCAAGGGGCGACUCCUUCUUAAUUUUUUUUGUGUGAAAAUCUUAUUUUAUUUCGCAUCCCAUCGUUACCGCGAUAGAUCUUAAAACUAGGUUGUUGCCACUAUACAAUAACAAAGACACCACUAAUAAAGGUCUUAUAUCAAUCUUUGUGAAAAAGUUGUAUCGUGACACCAACAAUUUAUAUUUCUCUGUUGGUGAGAUGACCAUCACUUCGGAUGAUGUGCUAGUAUUGCUACAUCUUCCCAUUGUGGGAUAGUUUUUUUCGUAUAUGAUUUUGGAUUUUAAAUCAACUUUAUCAUUGUUGGUUGAGCUCUUUGACUUGGAGUUUGGUGAUGCUACAACAGAGUUGAGCGAGUGUUGUUGAUAUACAAACCAAAGGAUCAAGUUACCAAUCAAAAUAAAAAAAAACACGUAGAGGCAAAAUUAUAAGUAACUCAAGAUCAUACCUUCAAUUGAACCAGAGAUGACCAAACACAACAUCUUUAAAAAAGUAUUUAUUCAUAUGUCUCCAAAUCUCAACAAUAACUGCAAUCUAGAUACUUCCCCAAACAACAUUAACAGGUACAUUAAAAAGCAUUAAAAAGUUUGAAUUGGUGGAAGUGUGAAAGAGGAUCAUGAUGAUCUACCAAUGCCAACUCUAACCAAACAUAACAAUGGUUCCAAUCGAGCCAGACAAUUAAAAGUAAGAAAAAUCCCUUUAUAAAUUAACUAUUUCAUCUUGCACUCCUGCAAAAAAAAGUUGUUACUCCUCCAAAAGUCCACUUUAAUUAACAUAAGAACGUCUCCUCAAACCUACAAAACACACUGCUACAUCCUUCCUAAAGCAAGAGGUUGACUAUACAAAUUCUCUAAUAUGAAACAUUACUCCUUAACAUAUUUCAUACAUUCCAAUGAUUUCAUACACCAUUCAAAAUGAGAGAAAUCAGCAAAAAAAAAUUACAUGUAAUCCAAGUCUAGGUUUUUCUUUGUAAACCCUAAACCCAAAACAAGAAAUUAUGAGGUUUUGAAUUUGAAUUCUUUAGAUGUUUCAUGUUCAAGAAAUUGAUUAAGAUUUUUGAAGAUUUGGAUAUUGUGUUAUACUUUAACAACCCCAACUUUUAUGCUUAAAUUUAUGUGAGAUUAUAGUUAAUAAAUGAACUUGAGGUAGAUAAUUUAGUUUGCAUGUGAAAAUUUUACAAAAAUUGAGAAGUAAUGGAGUGAUUUCACGUUAACUAUGUUGAGUGGAGAUGUUUGUUGUUUCUAUGAUAAUAUUUUGAUUAUAUUGGAUAAUUUAAAUUCUUGAAAACCAGAGUUCUUGUAUGUGAAUAAGACUUUUAUAAGUUUAGAAAAAAUGGAGUUCUUAGGGUUAAACAAGUUAUUUUAUACUAUUUAAAUAUUAUUGUAUGAAAGAAUAUAAAAGAAACAAUAAAAAUAUUUGAGUCAUCGGUUUUGUUCAUGACUAAAGAAAAAUGUUACUUUUAAAUUUAUAAUCUAUAAUUUUAAUAAAGUUUAAGAAAACCAAUUUUUUUAAUAAAAUCGUAAAUUUCAAGUUCAUGAAGUUAAAUUUUUAAUUAAAUUAGUUGAUAGAGUGGUAUUUGUGAGUUAAAGUUUUAGUGUGAAGUCCUUUUAAUGAGGCACUUUUGCAAACUUCGAGUUGAAUAAGAUUAAGUUAGAUUAAAGCAUGAAAACUUUGCCUAUACUUAAUUUUAGAGAUCUAGUUAAGUUUAUGGUUUUGCAUAUUUUUGUUGAAGUGAAAUAUUUCUUAUUUAGCUUUUAUUUAGCGAAACUUUUCAAAAGAGAUAAAAGAUAAAUAUCUACUUAAAUAAAAUUUCUUUAGAAAGAAAUGAGAUUUUUUUAAGAAUUUUCCUCAACUAUAUAAAAAUUUGCUAAACGAAUUUAGAUACAACAUGAAGAAUGAAUUAUAUUUUAAAAAAACAACAGAUUAUAAUUGUGCUAAGUGGAUUUCUUAAAAAAAGUUCUUACUCUUUAUUACCUAAUAGGACUGUUCUCUUAAUUUUUUUAUUUAAUUUUAAUAUAUUUUAAUAAAAUUCAUUAUGCUUGUUAAAUUAUUGAGUGUUUAUUUAGGAUUGGUAUGUGGAUGUGAAAUCAUCGAGGUGAUUGAGGUGAGAUACUUAUUAUUAACAGAGUAAUAUUAUGAUGAUUUAAAUUUAAUUUAUAAUGUAAGUAUUAAAUUAUGAAACAUAAAUAUCUAUAUUUUUGUCUUAAAAGUAUAAUGAUAUUCAGGGAUAUAUCAUGUACGAAAAACUAAUGAAAGUUCCUACUACCUAUUUGAGCAUGAGUAGGAAUUUUGAGAAAAACAAUAUCAUGACUCAAAUUGAGAAAGUUGUUCCAAAUUAGAAUUUAUUAUCCUUAAACUAUGUUGGUUAUUAAUUCAGAUUUUAUUAUUAUUAAUUAUGAUUUUAUUACCCUUAAACUAUUUUACCGUUAUAUUCCAUUAAUUCUUAGUAGUCCAUGGUCUUACUAUUAAAAACAAGUUACAUGGCAAGUCAUCAACCUUUUUAUAAGAAAUAAAAUGAGUCAUUUUGGAAAAUCUUAAACAACCACGAGGAUAAAAUCUUUCUCCCAUUGAGUCUAUUGCAAACUUCCAUUGAAAUAUCAAGUCAAAAAUUAUUAGGAAAAGACAAAGGAAUGUACAAACCAUGUGGUUUCAUUAUUGAUUUGACCUUUUUACAAGUAAUGCAAUUUUUACAAAAUUUGUUCACAUCACAUUUCAUGUGAGGCCAUUAAUAAUGUUCAUACAAACUAUUUAAGGUAUUUUGAACCCCAAAGUGUCCCACUAACCCUCCCUCAUGUACUUCUCUAACUAAAAGAUCCUUAAUAGAACAUUUAGGCACACAAAAUCUUAUCUCUUUAAACAAAUAAUCAUUGUGCCUAAAAUAUCCAUUGGUGCUAAAAGUUUACGAGAAACAAAAGUUCCAGAAAAUUCAUAAUCAUGUGAAUAAAUUUCUUUCAAAAAUUUAAGACAAUUUUUUUGUUUGUUUAAAAAGUAGAAAUCAAAACAUGUCUUCUAGAUAAAACAUCAAGUACAAUAUUUUAUUUUCCUUUUUUUAUGCUUUAUGACAUACAAAAAUUAUUCUAAAACUUCAACUCAUUUGACAUGUCUUUUAUUUAAUUUUUGGCCUUUUAAAUAUUUUAAAGACUUAUGAUUUAUAUGAAUAAGAAAUUCUUUAUGUAAAAUAAAUAUGUCAAGUUUGUAACACUCUCACCGAGGCAUACAAUUGUUUAUCAUAAGUGGGAUAGUUUAGGGUGAUCCCUUUUAACUUCUCAUUAAAAUAAGCAAUUAAAUGACUUUAUUUCAUAAAAAAAAACCCUUAUACCCACAUUAGAUAAUGCACCACACUCAAUUUCAAAAGAUGUUGUGAAGUUUAGUAAUGCAAGAAUGUGAACAUUAGUCAAUUCAUGUUUAAGGGCAACUAAAACUUUUUCUUGUGUUUCCCUUUUGAAUGCGGGAAUAUUAAAUUUGAUCUUAUCCAAUCCCAGUUGUCUUUGUUCUCCUUCUUCUUCUUUUUUUCUCUCUUUUUAAACUUUUUUUUUUCUUUUACCCUUUGUUUUUAACUUUUUUUUUAACUUCUUUCCUUUAUCUUUAUACAUAUAAUUGAAAUUUCAUUUUAGAGUCUCACAAUCAUCACACAUAACACGCACAUGCACACACGAACCCACACACUCGCACACACACUCACACAAAUUGGAAAUUCACAGGAGACGAAUUGGAAUCAAUCAACAAUUUUAAGUUGAAAAGAAUAUCAAAUAAAUAAGGUGCCACAAAUAAGGUUUAAUAAGCCUAAUAAUGGUCAUCUAAAGAAUUAGUAAAUUCUUGAUAAUAUCAGAAGAUGCAAGGGAAUAAUCCUAACAAAGAAACUAUCACUCUUAUUUUGGCAAAAUAAUUAUUUUUUAUUCUGAAUUCUAAAAAUAUAUUUAUAGAUUUUGCUUCGUUUGUAAGUAAAUAAUGAGAUCUCACAUCACUACAAGAAAAUCACAAAAUAGAAAUUAAUAAUAAAUAGUUGCUAUAGUGACUAAAUUAGAGACCAUUUUAGAAAUUAAAAAAAAAUUGGUUUCUAAAUUAAUUUCUAUUAUUGUUAAAUAGUUUCUAAAUUGGUAAUGCAUCAUAUAUAAAUAAUGACAUUUUAUAGUAUAUAGGUGAGAGCAAACCUCACCUUAUAUUCUGAUUUUGUAAAAUUAAAUUAUACUUAUAAUCUACUUCUUAAUAAAUAAAAAUAAAAUAUAAUUUAUAUAUUUCAAAAAAAUAUAAUAUUGUCUUAAUAGUUAGAUUAAGACAUUUUGAUUCUGGAUUCAAAUUCUAACCCUAACUAAAAUAUUAAUCAGUAUUUUAGCAGUUCAAGCAUGUGUUUUUUCUAAGUCUUUUAAAUACUUCAGAUAAGAUUAUUAAAAUAAUUUGAGGAGAAGAAGAUAAGACACCAUUAUUGUCCUUGGAAGCAAAACAAGUGGAAGACAAGAGUGUAGGGGAGGGGUUGAAAACCCAAUGCCGACAUGUAUGUGGAGUAAUAGUACAAUGUCCUCUAUUCUAACACUAUUUCUCUUUCUACAUAAAAUAAAAAUAAUAAUUUUUAGACAUUUUAAAUCUCACUCAAUACUUUGUGAAAAUAAUUAAAAUUUAUAUAUUUAGAUGUAAAUAAAAACAAAAAAAAAAUUAGUAGAAAGUAUUUUAGUAUUUUACAGCAUUUUUAAAAUGGGUAUUUAAAAAUUAUUACUCUUUUGCUUAAAUAAAAUAAAUAAUUUUUUUAAGGGUUUAGUUCUUAAAUUAACUCCGUUAAAUAGAAUACAUAAUUUUUUUUGUAAACUUUAUGUUUGAUUUAUAUAAAUAAAUAAUCCUUUUAACUAUUUUUUUUUGUUUUGAAGUUAAAAACUGGUUGCGUACAGUUUGGUGAAGCUUUUGUCGUUUGUGGUUGUUCCUUUACACUCUUUUGAACGUGCAAAAUAUGUUUAAUUAGAACAGAACAUUUGGAUAAUGUUUGACCAGAAUAUUUUAAUACCUUUUUAUUUAUUUAAAAUAAACACUAAUUUUAAUGUAUAUGUUCUUCGAUGAGUCGGAAUAUUUAUAUACGCCUGUACAAAAUUAUGUUAUUCAUAAUUAACGUGAAGUCGUAACUAUAUAAAUUCUAAAAUAUUAGGAAUAAUUUAUAAUAAAAAAUUAAUUUUAGGUGAUUUUUUAAAUGUAAUUUUAAUUGAUCAAAGUUAUAUAAUUGAUGAAAUUAUUGAUGGAUUUUCAUGAUUAAUUUGUUCCAAAAUUUUACUAUUAAAUCUGGAAGCUAUUUACAUUCAAUAUAUUCGUUAACUUGGUUAAUAACAAAUAAAAAUUCAAAAUAAUUUCAAUUUAAAAAAGUUACUAUUUGGAUUUUGUAUUUGUAUACAUAAUAAAGUAGUUUGUUCACUUCAAGUCUUCUUCUUUAAUUGUUGGUGUUAGGUUGAAAGGUUGACUGAAAAAGUUACUCUGACGAUCAAGUAAUUAUUUUGUGUUAAAAGUGUAUAGUGAAAACUGAUUAAAGUGUAUCUUACACAUUUGUCUCUGUAGAGGGUUUAUUUAUAGUGUUUAAUCAUGAACUUUUGUUGUGAUGGAUUGAAUCUAUCAAAUAUUAGUGUUAAUUGAUUUCUAGCAUGAUCAUUGAUUUAUAGGGAGAUAUAUUUGUAUAUUUGGAAAAUAUAUUUAAUAAGUCAAUAUUUUCCACUAAAUCAGUGUUAGUUGGUUUUUAGGGGAUGUCACCCAAAAUCGGUGGGACAUUUUUUUUAUCGACAAAAAGGAAUGGAAUAAAUGAAGGUAUUUCAGGAUACCUCAACCUUAUACAAAAACAACGACGUCCUUCACCCUACCACUCACAUUGAGAGCUUUAAAGUGGACAACACGAGGGAAAGUUUGUCGUCUACCCAUACUCAAAUACAAAAAACAACACCUCUAACUUGAGUCAAAUCAGCUCAACUUGACCUCCCCCCUCUAACCUUUUCUAUUUUUUAUUGACCUCAUGCGUACCAAAGGUUCAAGACACCAAUCUAAGUAAGAAAAAAACAUGCUAAACGUACCUUCGAGAUGACCCAUGACCAAACCUGCAGCUGCGCCAUUGUGAAGAUUUCUAUGUGAUCCAUGCGUCCAUUCUUGAAAACCUUUGUUUCCAAAUUUCGCCUAUAACUGCUAUCCACACACAAUUCCAGAUCCGGUUAAUACCUUUGCUUUCCUCGUUCAUCCUGAAGUGAGACAAAAGUAUUUUUGAAUCCUGAUGAACCAUCGCUGUCCUGCCCACCCACUCAAAGCACUUUGCCCAAACCAACCACGCUACCCUACACGUACUAAAUAGAGAUGAAGCGUUGUUUCAAUCCUCCCCACACAUAUUACAUAUGCUACUCUCCACCGUGAUCCCCUCCGUUAGUUUUAGUCGCAAUUUUGUUUUCCAACACUCUCCAUGUUGUAACUAAGGCUGAUGUGGUUGAGCCUUAAUCUCCAUAACCCCUUGUGUAGGUCAGAACCUUCCCCCUGUAGCUCCCCUUUUAGGACUCUAUAAACAUACUAGAUUGUAAAACUUGUAUCAUCACUUUCUUUCCAGACCCACUUAUCCUCCUUAUCUUUGGUAUGCACCAGGUCAAUAAAAAAUAAGAAAGGUUAGAGGGGAGAGGUCGGUUUGACUCAAGUUAGAAGUGUUAUUUUCAUAUUUGGGUAUGGAUAAACAACAAACUUUCCUCCGUAUUUUACGUUUUAAAGCUUUCAAUGUGAGUGGUAGACUGAAAAAUAUCGUUAUUUAUUCUAUUUUUUUAUCACUAAAAAAAUACAUAAUCACAUAUUAAUAUCAUCCAUCAAUCACCUAAAUUGAAUAAUUGGCUCGUGCAAUUCCGAAGUACAGAUCUAAAUAACAUUUUGAACAAUGUGUGAAUUGUUUUUGGAACUAGAUUUAUCUGCAACAUGUAACUUUUUGGAACACACAAAAAAACAAGAUAUACAAUACAAUAAUUGAAUAUGAUCAGAAACUCUUAUAUCACAUCCAUUACAUCAUCAAUCAUACACAUUUUUUUAACAAUGAUUACAAUAUUUCUCACUUCGCUAAAGACAUCACACAUAAAUGUAUACAAAAAUCAAGAUUUGUCGAUUUUUUAAGAUAUUUAUUGAGUUAGUCUGUUUGAGAUUAACACUUCAUGUAUGAUUAGAGUUUAUUGAACAUAAAUAAUUAUUUAUAUACAAUAACGAUAUCUUUUUUGCAUAGACUUUAAAAAAAAUGUUGUGUAAGAAUUUUUAUCAAUUUUCAACACCUAAAACAUUUAUUUACGUACAUGAUUUUUAGUUAUCAAUAAAACUUGAAUGUUUUAUUUUUAUACUAAUUUCUUAAUUUAAUACUCAUGUUAUAUUCAAACUAAUGACAAUAUUAUAUAAUAUUAUAUAUAAGGUUGAAAGUGUUGAUUAUUAAUUCAGAUUUUAUUAUUAUUAAUUUAAAUUUUAUUACUUUUAAACUAUUUUGACUCCUAUUAUUACAUUAAUGAUCAAUUUUCAUAGUAUUUCUAUUUUAUAGUUUUCAAGUAAUUAUAAUUUUAUAAUAUAUACUGUUGAAGUAAAUUAAAAUGAAUAAGAUCUAGUCGGCAGUUUUGCAAUGUGCAAUUACCUUCAAUUAGUUUAUACAACUUUUUUUUUUUCAAUUAGUUUCUACAGAAAUUGUCACGUUUAAUUAAUUAAUUUAUUUAUUGUUAGUAGGGAUCUCUGUUAUGCUGGAUUUUUGUUUUGAAGUGAUAUUUUCUGUAAUGAGCAAACAACAACGUGUAGGCGAAGCAGAAUGUGGAUAUAGUUUCAGUAUUUUAGGCAUAUGAUAAUUUGGGAUAUUUUAACCCUUUACAUACAUUAUCUUGUUCUUCUUAGAAAUCAAAAAGUCAAAUGAUAGUCUAAGAAUUUUUGUUUCAUAAAACUCUAAAAUCCUUCGUAAGUAUUUGAGACAAAAAUAGCAGUACUUAAAACAACUUAGUACUUUCCAAAUGAUUAUGGAUUAAUUUUUAAUUAUUUUUUUUUCAAAUUAAGAUAGAAACAUUUGAUACUUGUAUAAUCGAAUUAAGCAUAAUUGAUUAUAUUAAAAAAAAUAGCUUUUCAGAAUCGAUUAUUAUAUGAAAUAAUUAAUUAUGUGUUAAUAAAAUGAGAUCUAGUUUUAGUUCAGAAUUACGAGCUUAACAUAACUAACUAUAUGUUCAUAAAAAAUAACUUUUAAUGUAAAUUUGAUUAAAACUUUUUAAAGAUUGAUUUAAAUUUUAUAUUUAUUUAAAUUAAAAGAACACCAAAUAAUGAAUGUACGUCUAUUCAUUAACUAGGUGUACAUUUAUCAUCAAAUCAUCAACACCCUAUCAAUAAUAAAUAAUGUAUUACAUAAGUAAAGGGAUAACAAUUUCCAUCUACAAAUAAGAAAAAUAGUACUAGUCAUUCAUGUUACAACCAUGUGCUUAAUUGAUAGUAGAAUACAUUUCUACCAAAUAUUUCAUAAUUACUUACUAAACCCUUCCUACACAAAUCUUCUAUUUAUUUUUAUGUUUUAAAGCUUUGGUUCUUUUAGAUUUCUAAAAUGUAUUAUAGAAGAUAAAAAAAAUUCUAACAAGUAUUUGUGCAUUUUUUUUUUCAAUUACACAGUAGUAAAUAAAACUAUUUUUUACAGGAGUAUUACUAACUUUUAUAUUUACCAAUACUUAUAAUGAAGUAAUGCUAUCUCUUAUCUUUAGAAAUUUAUUUCUUAUAUAUGAGAUAAAGAUAACAUAUUUUUAUGAUGCUUUUUAUAAAUUAAUAUUUGUUUAGUGAUAAAAUAUUUUAUAAUAUUUAUGAUUAUAAUUUUUAAAUUUAUUUAUUUAUAGAUAAAUGAUUUUUAUUAUUAGAUUUUAUUCUCAUAUUAGAUAUUCUAUUAUUAUUCUUAUAUUAUAUGUAAAUAUUCUCAACUAAGUUUAAAGUAAAAUAAAUUAAAUGCAUUUACAUUCAUUAUGCUGAAUAAUGUAAUUUUCAAAAUAUUUUGAAAUGUAUGGUUAGAUUAAUAUAAUAAAUAAAUAGUAUAGUAAAAAGAGAGAAAAAACUGAUUUAACUUUACUUUAUGUAAAACGAGUAGUAAUGACAUUUAAUAAUGUUUUAAUAUUAAAAAUAAAAUAAAUAUAAAAAGUUAAAAAUUACCAUUUUAAAUAAUAUCACUUGAAAUAGUAUUUUUUUUAAAGAAAUUAUAAACUACUUAAAAAAUAUUUUUCAAACUUAUUAAAAAAGUCAAUGUAAGUUUUAUAAUUUAAAAACUAAAAUCUAGUUAGAAAUGUUUGGAAAACAUCCACUUAACAUGUAUGUAAUAUAAGUCAUUGUGUACAAUCUUCAUAAUUAGGAUGUUUUUGGGUUUUUACCAAUUUUUUUUUAUCAACAAAGAAUAAAUAAAAUAAAAAGAGAUAAGAGACUUUUUAGCAAUUUAAUCAAUAACUAAAUACAAGUGCAUUUAAUUUAGUGUUUACAAAACCUAAAAAGUUGACUAAACUGUUCAAACUUAAAAUGAAUUAUUCAACACGAAACUAAACAUAAGAAUAUAUAUUUAUCUAAAAUAUUUAACUGUAAUAUUUUUAGUAUCAAUGCAUACUACUCCAACUCCUCCACUACUAUCUGGUAUUUAUUUAACAGUAAAAAAAAACUUAAACUCUAAACUUAAAAAAGAAAAUACUUAAAGAGUGAUUUUGAAUAACCUAUCGUGAAACCAAACACCUACUGCAAAUAAAUAUUUUUUUUAACAUUGUAUUUUUUAUCAACAAUAAAAAAAAAUAAGAAUAAUUUUAGAAAUGAUCCAACUAUUAUAAAAAAAUCACAUAGAAACAAACACUUUUCUUCAAAAAUUUGUUACUAACUUUCUAUUAAAGAUGAAAACAAAUAAAUCAGAUUAAUACCUUAUUCCAAUGUUUUAAAAUAAAAGUCCUAGAAAUUCAAAAUCUCUUAAUAAAAAACACACAUUUCAAAGAAUAAGACAUUGAAUAACAUGUUUUUCUUAUUCAGAUUAAUGUUUAAAACCAAAACCAUUGGUUUGUAUUAGGUCAAUAAAAAAGGAAUAGUUUAAAGAGAGAGGUUGAGUUGAGCAAGAGUGUUCCAGAUUAGAGAUAAUGUUUUUUAGAUGUGGAGCUUGCAUCUCUCGUGUUGUCUACUUUAAAGUUCACUAUGCGAAUAAUAAACUAAAGGAUGUCGUUGUCUUUAUACAAGAGUGGAUGUGUCCCUAAACUAUCUUGAUUUUUAUUCAUUCUAUUUUUACCAAUAAAAAAUUGAACAAGAAAAACAAGUAAAUAUCCCACCAAAGGCAUAGCUUAAGUUGAGCAAAAGAGACUUUGUUCAAUAGACCGCUGUCUAAAAGUUUAAAACCUAUGUCAGAUUUAACUUUUUCUUUUAGAUACAAAGCAUUUUAACUUUCCUCUGAACAGUGCAUGUGGUUUAUUUUCUACAUCUUAUAUUAUCAUAUCUGUCAUUUUUUGUUUUUAUGUUAAAUCAUUGUCCUUUCUUGUCAUUUACCCUGAAUUUUUGUGAGUGUUUUGUCACCCUCCAUUCGUCUUUUUAUGCAUUUUCAGAAGUUGUCCUCAACAAAAAACUGAGCACAUUAUUACUCAUAGCAGAAAAUUAUGGUGGAACUUGCUACUUAUCUAUAAAUAGCCUCUUUGCAGGCACAAGGGUCUCCCACAGCAUCUGUAGAAAGAAGAGUGUGCUGUGUUGGAGCAGUCAUGUUUAAGGGCAAUACCUCAAAGGUUCACCAAGUGAAGGGGACAGUGGUUUUGAUGAGCAAGAAUGCAUUGGACUUCAACAAAGAUGGUGCCACUGCCAUCUUCAGCCCUGACUUUUCCAUAAAGCUUAUCAGUUCUAACAGGGUUGAUGGUUUGUUUCUUCCUUUUCUCAUAUAAACCAUGCAAAAUAUAACAUACACAUACAUAUAUCUUUAUUAAACAUUCCAUUAAUAUUUAUAGUUUUUCCUUUUAUCUGUCUUCAUUGGGGAGUGAAAAAACAAUUCAUUCAUCAUCCUCCUACAUCAUUAAAAAAAAAAACACAAAAACUAAUUUUAAAUACUAAAUUAGAAACCAUUUUAAUACUAAAACAAUUUUUAAUUUAUAAAUUAAUUUUUAUUAUUAUUAGAUAGUUUCUAAAUUGAUAUCUAAUUAGAUUUUUUUUACCAAAUAUGAUGUAAAUUUAAAAAUUAUUUAACAAUAAUAAAAAUUAAUUAGAAACCAAAAAUUAUUUUAAUAUUGAAAAUGAUCUCAAAUUUAGUUAUAGAAUAAUUAAUUAUUUUAAUUAUUUUUUAUGUAUAAAAUUGAUUUCUAUUUAAUCUUAUGAUUGACUAAUGAUCUCCAUCUAUCCUUUUUUUAAAUCUAAGUCAUGCUUCCAAUAAUCAGUACUAUUUCAUAUUUUAUGAGACUUUUUAUAUGUUUUCUUUAUAAAAUAUUGCAAGAAAUCAGUUUUCUUGUGAAUUUUUCUAUGGAUUUUGUACAGUCUGAAAAAAAUAUGUGCAUGAACUUUUUUAUGAAAUAUGAAAAAUUGUAGUUGUCAAUAUUUAAUUGAUAAAAAAUAAUCUAACAGUAUUUUGCAUAGUUAAAUCUUUCUUAAUUUUAAAAAAAUAUGGUAUUAAAAUUUCUUUUACAAGUUUUCUUUUUGAUUUUUAUGAAAAUGUAUUUUCUAUUUUGAAAAUAUAUUUUUUUAUAGAUUAUUUGAAUAUCCCAUAUUAGAAAUAAUUAAUGGAUGUAUUACAUUUGAAUUUUAACAAAUGGAGUAAGAUGAAUUGAAAAUUUUAAUUAAUAACAAAAUUAAUGAAUUUUUUUAUCCAAUACAUUAUGAUUUGAAAUAAAAUUUAUCUAACUCAUUAUGUUUGACCCCUUAAUUAAUCACAGUACAUGAGUUUCCACAUUUAUAGCUCUUUCACUUCUCUAGUUUUUUUUUUUCUUCUAAGAUUAUGUUGGAUUUGUUAAAAACAUAUGGGACUGUACAAAACAAAAUUUCUGAUGUUUGCUUUGAAAUAAAUUAAGUGAAGAACAUAAAAGUGUGAAGCUAAUUUCUAUUUGAGCAUUAUUCUUGCUAGGUAUUUUUAAUCGGUUUCCACUUAUGAUAAAAAAAUUCUAGUAUUAGUAUUCUGUCAUUUUAGUGGAUUUGGGGAGAAAAUAUCAAGAAAGAAAAGUAUUUAUGUGAUCGAGAGAAGGUCAGAGAUUUGUAAGUAUUGUGUGUAAAUAAUGAUUUUGCCUCAAUUAUUUAUUUGUUUUUCUUUAUUUUUUAAAUUAUCACUGUCCAUUAAUAAAUAAUUAUUUUUCAUUUUUUCAAUUAAAUUUUCUAAUAAAUAUACACCAAAGAAAAAAAUUACUUCAUAAAAAAUAUUUAACAGGUAGCAAAAUACUAAUAAUUUUGAUUUAAUAUAUUAUUUAUUUUUUAUUAUUUUGCUUUAAUGAAACUAAAUUUAUACAAAUGUGUAUAUGUAAGUAAUUGUUGUUGUUAAAGAGUUUGAUUAGAAAUAAUAAGUUCAAAAUUAUAGAAUAUAAGUAGAUGGAAAUUUCAUCUCACAAUUUGUUAGAUUAAAUUAAAUAAAAACUAAUUUUAUAGACAAAAAAUAAUUAAUUGCUAUCGACUAAAUUAGAAACCAUUUUAAAAACCUAAAAAAUUAUUAGUUUCUAAAUUAGUUUAUAUUAUUGAUAGUUUAUAAAUUGAUAUAUAAUUUAGUCAAUAUAACAACUAAUUAUUUUUAGUGGUUAAAAUUGGUUUUUAUUGAAUAAUUUUCUUAGUUUAGAUAAAUAAUAUGUUAUGGAGAUUAAAAAAAUGUCUUAUUUGAGUUUGAUAAUAUUCUUUAUUUAGGGCAUAAGAAUGGGAAGGUUGGAAAGGAAACCUCUCGGGACAAAAAUCAACCUGCUUCUUCGUUACCAACCUUGGGAGAGGGAAAAACUGCAUUCAAUAUUUCUUUUAAAUUGGAUGAAAGUUUUGGAAUUCCAGGAGCAUUCUACAUCAAAAAUUUAAAGCAACCUGAGUUUUUCCUUGUGACUCUCACUCUUGACAUUCCAGAUCAUGGAACCAUU